AUUGAACGCUGGCGGCAGGCCUAACACAUGCAAGUCGAACGAGGGGCGGACGGGAGAGUAAUGUCUGGGACACUGCCCGAUGGAGGGGGAUAACUACUGGAAACGGUAGCUAAUACCGCAUACCAUCGGAUGUGCCCAGAUGGGAUUAGCUAGGAGGUGGGGUAAUGGCUCACAUAGGCGACGAUCCCGAGCUGGUCUGAGAGGAUGACCAGCCACACGGGAACUGAGACACGGUCCAGACUCCUACGGGAGGCAGCAGUGGGGAAUAUUGCACAAUGGGCGCAAGCCUGAUGCAGCCAUGCCGCGUGUAUGAAGAAGGCCUUCGGGUUGUAAAGUACUUUCAGCGGGGAGGCGUUACCCGCAGAAGAAGCACCGGCUAACUCCGUGCCAGCCGCCGCGGUAAUAC
rnacentral:rRNA from 1 species